UUGAUAAGGGUGGGACUUAUACCCACCUAAACAGGGCUACAACCUGCCGC
rnacentral:tRNA from 1 species